rnacentral:rRNA from 1 species
AGAACGAACGCUGGCGGCGUGCCUAACACAUGCAAGUCGAGCGAGAAAGCCCGCAAGGGUGAGUACAGCGGCGCACGGGUGCGUAACACGUGGGUAAUCUGCCCUGGAGCCCGGAAUAACUCCCCGAAAGGGGUGCUAAUGCCGGAUAAGCCCACGGGGUCUUCGGACCCUGAGGGAAAAGGUGGCCUCUGUAAACAAGCUAUCACUCUAGGAUGACGCCCGCGGCCCAUCAGCUAGUGGCGGGUAUGCCACAGCUACGACGGUAGCGUGGUCUGAGAGGACGAUCAGCCACACUGGAACUGAGAACACGGUCCAGACUCCUACGGGAGCAGCAGGUGGGAAUCUUGCGCAAGUGGGACGAAAGGCCUAGACGCGACGACACCGACCGCGGUGUUCGUAGUA